GACGAACGCUGGCGGCGUGCUUAACACAUGCAAGUCGAACGCUGAAGCCCAGCUUGCUGGGUGGAUGAGUGGCGAACGGGUGAGUAACACGUGAGUAACCUGCCCCCUUCUUUGGGAUAACGCCCGGAAACGGGUGCUAAUACUGGAUAUUCACUGAUCUUCGCAUGGGGGGUGGUGGAAAGGUUUUUUCUGGUGGGGGAUGGGCUCGCGGCCUAUCAGCUUGUUGGUGGGGUGAUGGCUUACCAAGGCUUUGACGGGUAACCGGCCUGAGAGGGUGACCGGUCACAUUGGGACUGAGAUACGGCCCAGACUCCUACGGGAGGCAGCAGUGGGGAAUAUUGCACAAUGGGCGAAAGCCUGAUGCAGCGACGCCGCGUGAGGGAUGGAGGCCUUCGGGUUGUAAACCUCUUUCGCUCAUGGUCAAGCCGCAACUGUGGUUGUGGUGAGGGUAGUGGGUAAAGAAGCACCGGCUAACUACGUGCCAGCAGCCGCGGUAAUACGUAGGGUGCGAGCGUUGUCCGGAAUUAUUGGGCGUAAAGGGCUUGUAGGCGGUUUGUCGCGUCUGCCGUGAAAUCCUCUGGCUUAACUGGGGGCGUGCGGUGGGUACGGGCAGGCUUGAGUGCGGUAGGGGAGACUGGAACUCCUGGUGUAGCGGUGGAAUGCGCAGAUAUCAGGAAGAACACCGGUGGCGAAGGCGGGUCUCUGGGCCGUUACUGACGCUGAGGAGCGAAAGCGUGGGGAGCGAACAGG
rnacentral:rRNA from 1 species